rnacentral:rRNA from 1 species
UACAGAGGGGGCAAGCGUUAUUCGGAAUUAUUGGGCGUAAAGGGCGCGUAGGCGGCCUGGCAAGUGGAUGGUGAAAUCCCUCGGCUUAACCGAGGAACUGCCAUCCAGACUGCUUGGCUUGAGACCGGGAGAGGUGAGUGGAAUUCCCAGUGUAGCGGUGAAAUGCGUAGAUAUCAGGAGGAACACCGGUGGCGAAGGCGGGUCUCUGGGCAGUAACUGACGCUGAGGAGCGAAAGCGUGGGGAGCGAACAGG